AAAAGAAUUCUACAUGAUGUUCUUAGUAUAUAACUUAAAAGAAUUCUACAUGAUGUUCUUAGUAUAUUAGGAAGUAAGUUUAAGAUCACUCUCAAUCUUGUCAAUGCCUUUCUUAUAUUCUAGUCUUAGUUCAAGUUUCUUAAAUUUUUUUUAUUUGGAAAUAUUUAUUUAUUUUUUAAUUAUGUUAUGUCUAUUUUUUCUUUACUUACAUUUUACCUUCUUAAAUAAUAUAUUAGUGCAUUGUCUUUAUGAUUUUGUUUCCAAAUUUAUGUUUUUGACAUAGGAUGCAAAUACUACAAUUGAGAAACUCAAAACUUAAGUAGUUCUUUAAUGAACUAUUGUUGACGUUUAGACUACAACAAUUUUAUAAAUUUUAUUGCACGUCCUUGUGCAGAAAUAAAUAAUAAAUAUAAUCGUAAUUAGAUACCUAAAACUGUAAUCAAUACUGUGAGUUUGAUAGAAAAUAAUAUAAGAGAAGAUAUCUUAGCUUUGAUAUUUAUUUAGAUUCAAUUAUUGAUUAAAUAAUUAAAUAAAAAUAUAUGUUAAAAAUAAAUGUAUUUUUUUAAAAAAAAAAUUACUUGUAACUUGAUGACUUAAAUUUUUUACAAAAAACACAUUUUAAAGAAUAAUUUUACUUGUUUUGACCCAUUAAUUCAUUGAUUUUUUUAUAAAACAUUGAGUAUCAAUUCCGUGUACAAUGAAAAAUAGGGCUUGUUAAUAUAUUCUGAUUGUGUAUUCACUUCAGAAUGGCAUAGAUUUGCUUGAAAACUGAAGGACAGGUGUUUGAAGCAACCCUUAACAAUCCAAAACACAGUUCCGAUUCUUUAAAAUACAGCAAGUUUUUGGGGAAGAAUUAAAAGUAAAAAUAGGAAUGUUCCAAUUGUAACAAUUCCAAAAGUCUCAACAUCAUCAAAGAAGGCUUACGCAAGUACAUAUUUGAUAUAUAAAGUUUGGUGGGAAAAAUUAAUGGCAAUGAAACCAAUUUAAAAUGACCAAAAUUUUCAACAAUAAAAAAAAUAAAAUAGCAAUCAACUUGAGUACAAAAGAAAGAGUUGAUUUCAAUCUACUCAUGUAAUACACAAAAUUCCACAAACAUUAUAUCAUCAUUAUUUUGGAGAAUCAAUUGGGAUGCUUUUCACAAUCCGUUGAACCGAUGACUUUGGAUGUUUUGAAGGAAUCAAGAGGUUGACUAUGGCAUAACUCAAAAAGUAGACAUGUGCAAGAGAUGGAAACCCUAAUUAGCUUUUGUUUUGAAAGAGAAGGAUACUUUGAAAAAGUUUGGGACUCAUUUUCCCACUUUUCUCCAACUAGAAUUAAUAGCAAAAAGCAGAGCCAUGUCCUCUUUUGGUCUUUGAGAGCAACAUGAGUUGGUUGGUGAACAUUCAUGUUAAAAGUGAAAGGCAAUAUAUUUUUGAUAAUUCAUCUUUGAUAUUCACAUUCAGGUGGAGCUUGUAUUAUUUCCAUUGAAACUAUUUGAUGCUGAUGUAAUGGUAAAAUUGGCCAAAAGAUGAGUUGAGACACAAUAGAUGAAGAAGAAAGAAGUAAUUAGCAUUCAUAUUUAUACUUCUCAAUUGUCUACUUUACCACAUGCCUACCAAAGUAUGGGAGGCAAAUACACAUUUAAAACUAGAUAGAAUUAGAAAAAGAAAAAGAAAAAAUUAAAAAAAUUUGAAGAACUGCUCCAGAAUUGAGAUUUUCAAUGCCUGCAACUUAAAGUUAUUUGUGUACUGAAAGUAUUUUGUAGGUAUUAUACCAAUUUAUUCAUUUAUUGAAACUAAAAUAAAGAAACAGAUGAGUAAUUGUAUAUGUAAACAGUGUUAAAAUUUCCAAAAAAAUCAACAAAGAAGUGACAAAUUACAUGUAGAUAUGUAUGUGCUCUAUUUUUUUUAUUUUUUAUUUUUUAUUUUUUAUUAUUUUUAUUUUUUGUUGGCUGCAAAUGUUUUUGUAAAACAUUUUCUGAUAUUUUACAAGCAACUGCUAUCUUUGUUGAUUCUUUAUAAUUAAAAUAGAGACUUUCUAUGGAUGUACAGUUUUUAAAUAACACUUAUCUCACAAACUAAUAAUUGUUGUCAUUCAGAUCUAAAUAUGAUUUUUCCAUAAUUUUGAUAUAAAUUAAUAUUAUUACUAGUAUUUAUCCU
rnacentral:lncRNA from 1 species